GCUAAUUAGACAACGACAUAAACAUUCGGUUCUAUUUAUGCAGUCUUGUUCAUUCCUAAUUCUGUUUUGCUUAACCACAGUGUCGUUGGCGAUUGGUGAUGUUUAUCCAAUUUAAGCCGUUUGCUUAAUUGAUGCAAAGCACGGCUGUUGAGUGUGCUUCCUCACAUCAGAUACACUCACCCAGGAGAGUGAGGAGACAGUGACUGUUCUCCACACAGGAAGCCCAAACGGCAAGCUACUGUACAACACAGCCACCAGUAAUUUGAGGCGCGAGUGCGUCUCGUCUCGUGCUGGCAACGGUUGGUAACGUGCAGGUGUCCGAAGAGAAGCUCGGGGAAGUUUCUGCCGCUGAAUUUCCCGAGGAGCACCGCCUGUCUGAAGACAACCCAACCCCAGCGAGACGAGGCUAUUUUUGUCCUGCCGCUUCAGACUUCCCUUGUCAGUUGGCUAAUGACAUAGCCCAUAGCCCUGAACUUGCAAUGUCUGUGCAAUAAAGUUCAGCCUUCUUUCA